AGCAGAGGUUCCCUGGGGCUGACAGUGGGUGGUCAGGGCCUGAAGCGAAAGCCCUCUUCCACAGGUAUCCAUUUCAACAUGUGACUCAUAGCUGGUGUCCAUGACAGGACCCUAGCUGGACUCCCUCCAGCCCCAAACCACUAGAAACCUGGACAGAGGAAGCAGCUGUGUUCAGACACUGAUAGGCAGCUCAGGCCGCGACACGCAACAUUGCAGCCUCUCUGGCCCCCUGGCUGCUGGCCCCAGGGUCCUGCUGACCCAGAAACACCUUCUAAAG
rnacentral:lncRNA from 1 species